GGGCCUAUAACUCAGUGGUAGAGUGCUUGCCUAGCAUGUAGGAGGCCCAGUGUUCAAUCUCCUGUACCACCA
rfam:Heterocephalus glaber contig238441, whole genome shotgun sequence.